rnacentral:rRNA from 1 species
GUGGGGAAUAUUGGGCAAUGGGCGAAAGCCUGACCCAGCAACGCCGCGUGAGGGAAGAAGGUUUUCGGAUUGUAAACCUCUGUCCUUGGUGACGAACACAAUGACGGUAGCCAAGGAGGAAGCCCCGGCUAACUACGUGCCAGCAGCCGCGGUAAUACGUAGGGGGCAAGCGUUGUCCGGAAUGACUGGGCGUAAAGGGCGUGUAGGCGGCCGAUUAAGUCUGGAGUGAAAGUCCUGCUUUCAAGGUGGGAAUUGCUUUGGAGACUGGUUGGCUUGAGUGCGGAAGAGGCAAGUGGAAUUCCCAGUGUAGCGGUGAAAUGCGUAGAGAUUGGGAGGAACACCAGUGGCGAAGGCGACUUGCUGGGCCGUAACUGACGCUGAGGCGCGAAAGCGUGGGGAGCGAACAGGAUUAGAUACCCGGGUAGUCC